GUGCCAGCCGCCGCGGUAAUACGUAGGUGGCAAGCGUUGUCCGGAAUUACUGGGCGUAAAGGGAGCGUAGGCGGUCUAUUAAGUGGGAUGUGAAAUACCCGGGCUCAACCUGGGAAUUGCAUUCCAAACUGGGAGACUAGAGUGCAGGAGAGGAAAGUGGAAUUCCAAGUGUAGCGGUGAAAUGCGUAGAGAUUUGGAGGAACACCAGUGGCGAAGGCGACUUUCUGGACUGUAACUGACGCUGAGGCUCGAGAGCGUGGGGAGCAAACAGGAUUAGAAACCCGGGUAGUCC
rnacentral:rRNA from 1 species